rnacentral:tRNA from 1 species
UAUAGCUCAGUGGUAGAGCACUUGCCUAGCAUGCAUGAGGCCCUGGGUUUGAUACCCAGUA